GACGAACGCUGGCGGCGUGCCUAAUACAUGCAAGUCGAACGCAGUGGGGACGGGUGAGUAGCACGUGGGUAACCUCCCAUCAGAGGGGAUAACACUUGGAAACAGGUGCAAAACCGAAACUGAUGGAUGGACCCGCGGUGCAGUAGCUAGUUGGUGAGGUAACGGCCCACCAAGGCAAGGAUGAAUAGCCGACCUGAGAGGGUGAUCGGCCACACGGGGACUGAGACACGGCCCAGACUCCUACGGGAGGCAGCAGUAGGGAAUCUUGGGCAAGGGACGAAAGUCUGACGGAGCAACGCCGCGGGAUUGAAGAAGGUUUUCGGAUCGUAAAACUCUGUUGUUAGAGAGGCGUUAUUUAACCAGAAAGCCACGGCUAACUACGUGCCAGCCGCCGCGGUAAUUC
rnacentral:rRNA from 1 species